rnacentral:rRNA from 1 species
AUUGAACGCUGGCGGCAUGCCUUACACAUGCAAGUCGAACGGCAACGCGGGGAAGCUUGCUUUCCUGGGGGCGAGGGGCGAACGGGUGAGUAACACAUCGGAACGUACCGGCUAGAGGGGGAUAACCCGGCAAAAGACAGGCCAAUCCCGCAAACGAUCUUCGGAGGAAAGCAGGAGACCUUUGGGCGUUGGGGCAGUCGAGCGGAGGAUGUCCGAUUAGCUAGUUGGUGGGGUAAAGGCCUACCAAGGCGACGAUCGGUAGCGGGUCUGAGAGGACGAUCCGCCACACUGGGACUGAGACACGGCCCAGACUCCUACGGGAGGCAGCAGUGGGGAAUCUUGGACAAUGGGCGCAAGCCUGAUCCAGCAAUGCCGCGUGGGUGAAGAAGGCCUUCGGGUUGUAAAGCCCUUUCGGCAGGGAAGAAAUCGGCGGGGCGAAUAACCCUGCUGGAUGACGGUACCUGCAGAAGAAGCACCGGCUAACUACGUG